AUGGGACCCAGGCUCCUCUUCUGGGCACUGCUUUGUCUCCUCGGAACAGGCCCAGUGGAGGCUGGAGUCACACAAAGUCCCACACACCUGAUCAAAACGAGAGGACAGCAAGCGACUCUGAGAUGCUCUCCUAUCUCUGGGCACACCAGUGUGUACUGGUACCAACAGGCCCUGGGUCUGGGCCUCCAGUUCCUCCUUUGGUAUGACGAGGGUGAAGAGAGAAACAGAGGAAACUUCCCUCCUAGAUUUUCAGGUCGCCAGUUCCCUAAUUAUAGCUCUGAGCUGAAUGUGAACGCCUUGGAGCUGGAGGACUCGGCCCUGUAUCUCUGUGCCAGCAGCUUGG